GCAAACAGCAUUAUAUACGCAGCACCAAAUUUAUUAUUAUUUUUUUUUUAUCUCAACAGAAGGUCCGAUUAGCCGGAAUUUGGGAAUUCCGAUUCACGUCGGGGGCAGAAAUCAGUUCGAGUUCAGGCUAGGGUUUUCGUUCCCAAUUGGGGAUUCAAUACAACGUAAUUCUGAAAUUCGGACAUCAAUUUCAUAGACUCCCGAACUAGAAGUCUGGAACCCCAAGUCUACGAGACUACGACCUGUUUCGCCGAAUGCGUCCUUCACUCCUUCUCAGUCUCUCGCCUUCUCCACUUCUCCCAGAGAUCAGUUUAGCAGUGGAUUGAAGAUUUCGUGGUCAAAUUCAAUUGCGGUCAAAUUUGUAGCUCUGGUAAUCUGGUAUCAGUAUGCUACUCCUCUCACUCUCCUUGUUCUGUAAUUUAUUGUGUUCUUACUGCUUCAUUUAGUUCCUUCUUAUCUAUAAUGAAUGAAAUAAACUGGUUUGUGAUGUGGGUUUAAUUGACGGAAGUCAUGGAACUGUCAAGGUCAGUAGGUCGCGAGUCGCGACAAUGGGUUUAAUUGAUGGAACUUUUUGAGUUCUUUCUGUUUAUUUAAUUGUGAUUGGCACUAUGAACUGGAACACAAAGUGAAUGGCAAAAGCUAUAGCUAGCUUAGGCCUUAGGAGGCUGAAGACUGAGCUAGCUCCUUUAAUUUACUUGAGCCGAUUAUGUUUCUGAAGCCACAAUAUAGUUUCUUUUCUAUAAAUGUUUCUGUGAUUAUACUUAAAUGUUAUUAUAUAAUGUUUGUUUUCUAUAUUUGUUUAUGUGAUUAUACUUAAAUUAUCUCAAAUGUUAUAGGCAUGGUUCAAAGGCUCAACCUGGAUUCCAAUAUUUGAUGUUGAUGACAAAACAUGCUUGACAGAAGUUCUGUUCAAUUUGGUAUUUUGAUCAAGUUUUAGUUAGGGUUUUGUUGGAAAUAGGGGAAGGAUGUCGGCGGCGGCGGAGGAGUCAAGUGAGGCAGGCACCAUGGGCGAAGAGGUUUUGAAGCUCAAAGAGAAGCUUUCUCAAUGCCAACUCGAAAUGGAGCGGCUCCUGACAGAGAAAAAGAGAUGGAAGAUCAAGAAGAAACUUCUCAUGCGGGGUAUAGAAAAACUAGAAGACAAGAUUAGUAAAGAACGAGAAGUGUUUCUGUCUGUAGGAUCAGAAAAUUGUGAGAGACAGAUUACACUCUACAAGAACUUGGAGACUACGAACAACAGUAUGCGGCAGCUAGGGGACGAAUUGUCCAAAGUAGAUGACGAAUUGGCCAAACUAGACGAGGAACAGUACAAGUUUUUUGAUAGUGAAAGGCCUUGUGUGGGAACAGAAGUGGAGAAGAAAAGAAGGUGGUCACAAUCAAAGACAGAGAAGCUGGAUAAGCUAUACUCAGAGAUGAAUAAGAAACGGGACGAUUUAUUAGCUUUUCUUGAAGCUCGUACAAAAAAUGCAGAAAUCACCGAUGAUGUGAAGGCUCUGGUGAGAGACUACUAUACUCAAUAUAUUGAGACACUCAAGACUGAUGAGGACGAGUAUGCACUGAAAACAAAGAUUAUGGAUAUUAUUCUACCACCGGGUUCUUCUCAGAAGCAAAUUGGGAUGUUUGCCAGGGUUGAUUCUAUAUCUCCAAUCUCUGCUGGGAUUUCAAAGAUUUUGAACUUUCUAAGAAAAUAUUUAACGAUGCGAAGGAUAAACAUCCUAUAGGAGGAAGAGACGAGAACGGAGAAAGAAAGUACCACUUGUCUGGAGACCUGGCUAAUUAAUGCUCAAUAGGAAAUAAACUUUGGAACUUUAUCAUCACAUAACAAGUUGAGGAUCUGUUAGCUGUUUGACUUUUGAUGGAAGAGAAGACAUGGAGGACAUUACUUCCUCAUAAUAAUCAAAUUUAGGAUUUUCAGUUUGUUUACCCUCAUUUUACAUAGAAGUAUUGCAGUUGGAGGGAUUGGUGUCUCUGUUUAGCCUUGUGGUUCUUAUUUGUGCGGGCUAAGUUCAAUUACAUCGAAGGAUAGUCUUCUGGUUCUAACACUGGAACCACAUUGUUUAAAUUACAUGCUCCCUCUUAUUUAAUCUUGUUAUGAAUUUUCUAUGUUAAUAGCACAUGUUCAGGAGUUGGUUAUUUCUUGGUAAUUGCGGUUACUGAGGGACAAGUUUGCUCUUCGAGGUGGAAAAGGUACCAUGUAUCUCGGAUUUCGAAUUAUAUCUUGCUUUCAGGUAACGGAUUACCAUCUUGCUUUCAGAUAAUAAUUGUAUGGAAAUUUCGAGGUCCCCAUGUGGACUUGAGUUAUAGGGAGUGUAUUCCAUGCACGUAUGUGCAACUACACUGACCAUGUGAUAGUCACGUGGAUAAAAAAUAGGGUUCCGUUACUACUAAAGGCGCAAUCAUGAUCCCCUGCACUACUAGAAAACUUGUCUUUUACGACGCGCAAAUUACGGCGUGCAUAUCGUGUGCGCCGUAAAAGACGGUCAUUUACGGCAUGUUUUUUUGUGCGCCGUAAAAGACGUCCAUUUUUUGUCUUUUACAGCGUGCUUUUCAUGUGCGCCGUAAAUGACAUAUUACAUUUACGACAUACUUUUUUUGUGCGCUGUAAAAGACUAAUUUUUUAUCUUUUACGGCGUGCUUUUCACGUGUGCCGUAAAUGAUGUGUUUCUUAACAAUCCCGCUCAGCCAUUUUUAGCUAAAUUCUAAUUUCCCACCAAACCUUUUUACUCUGACAUUUUUUUUUUAAAAGAUAAAAACUCAGGCCAAACCCGGAUCUCUUCAGACUCUCCAUCUCUCGUCUCGUUUCCUCUUCUUCUCUUCAUCCUCGCUCGAUGCCAUCCCAUCGAUCUAAAGGCCGAAGCCAAUAAUCCUGUCAUUAGGUGAGUGAAUAUGUCUCUCCCAAAUUCAGUUGGGGUCUCUCUCUCUCUUCUUUGCUAUGCGCGGCCCUUCGAGGCUUCCAACGCCAGACGUGUAUGCAUCAAUUGCUUCUCUCUCCGUCCUCUCUCAGGGGUUGAAGUAGUUUUUGCAAUAGAGAAAGCUGCGGUGGAGAUAUGACUUCUGUUCGCUGACGGUGCUCUCGGGCCGUCUAUCAAACUCAACUCGGGGCUGGAUUAUUACAUAGAUGUUGAUUAUCAAGUGGGUGAUGGCUUCUCUUUCAGUGGAGGUGUCUAUUCUCUUUUCCACUACCUCUUUUAUUUGCUAAAUGGCCUUUCCAAGUUUUUCAGUACUAGUAACUGAGGAAGUGGGUAAGUUUUUGACAGGAAAGUAUUCAUAUGGACCAAGCCCUUCUGAUGAAUGGUUCAAGCAGGGGAAGAUAGUGCUUAUAUUUCUCUUGGUUCUGGUGAGAAGGUCCGAUCUUGGACUUGCAAUGGGUGCUGAUUCUCAGGCAGCUGCUGAUGUUUUUAGAGCAUUGUCAAUCAUGGGGUUGAAAAGCCAGCUAUCCAGUGAUGAUGAACUUCUGGUUGUUCGUCUUUGGAAGGGUCUUCAAUGCUAUUGCUAUAGUGAUUCAAGAUUUUGAUCUAGGAUGCUCUUUGUUAAUCUAGAAUGUUUUACAUUUUAGGACGGUAAUGAUAAAUUGUUGGUUUAAUUAAGUUGUUUUUAUACAAUAUUGUUGUUGGCAUAUUAAUUCACAUUUUGUAAUGUGAUAUUGCAGUUUGUUAUCUCGCUUUUCAUCUCAAUAAAUUGUAUAGAUUUAUAUA